CUGGGCAUGUGUAGUUUUCUUUGUGUGGAACAGGAGAGAUGGAACUAAUGAUGCACAGCUUCUGGGUUUGGAGAACUGAUUUUCCACUUCCAACAAAAAUAGGUGUAGGUGUGGCUUUGUGAUAGAAAGUGUGAUUCCCAACCGCAUGGUUCCAGUUUCAGUCACACUGUGUGGCACUUUGGGCCUCUGAGAGUAAUGGGAAAAUGAAAGGAAGAAAACAUGUUCCAAAUGUUAUCAUGUAUAUCGUAGAUCACUAGACCCAAAUGCUUGCAACAGAGUGGAGCCUGCUAAAGGAACCCAAGGGUCAAAUGGGUUGAUAAAAUAAAUAUCAGUUGAGCACUGAGAUUGAUGUAAUUGACUUACCCAUUCCCUGUGCCAAAAUUUGAAACCAACAUAUAGUGGAAAUGGAUGAAAAUAGGUGAAAAUGUUGCAUACAUGGAAGAUUUUCAAGUUAGAGGUAGAAAAGUGGAGAAGAAAUAAUAAGGGCAGGUUUAAGAGGACUGAACUUCACAGAAGAACAAAUACAAAUAGAAACAAUAUUUUGUAAAGCUGGCCUAUUAAUGCUAGUUUUGAAAGAUUUGUAUUACCAUGAUAAUGAUGAUGAAAAUUAUGAUGAACUUACCUUGAAA